UCAUUAUUAUUAAUUUCAACACUUCGUGACUUUUAAGUUACAGAUUUAACAAGACAAACCCUAUCCUUUGACUUGGUGGGUUGAAAGAAACAUAUUUUACAAUGGAUGGAGAGCAGAGGGUAGUGAGAAUUGGAAUGAAUUUUAACAUCCAACGAUCAGAUGGCUGGAAAUGAACGUGGAGCAGACACUUCCAGUUCAAAUAGACAGACGAGAAUGGAAGGAGCAGAAAUUAACAAGAGUUUACUAGCACUGAAGGCAGGUUGACAUAGUCAAGGAAUUGGGAGUAGAAAAUAGAGAUAUUUUGUGUAAUGGGGAAUGGAAAACUUCUCCUGUUAAUGAUGAUUUUGCCCUUCUUCAUUCUAUAAAUAAAGAGGAACUAUCGGAUAACCUAAUGUUUUUUCAUACAGCUGUGUCUCAUCUACAGAAAUUAGAAGAUGAACUUUUGGAUGCACACAAAAACAUUACUGAAUCCACUGAGAAAUGGUUUCAAAAUGAUAGAGCUGCUUACAAUGGCAAAUGAAGUGGAUUAUGAUGUAGAUGCAUAUUCUCAACAAUUGGAAGAUUUGCUUGCAGAAAAGUUAGGCAGAUUAGGCAAGCUUAAAGAAAAAGUAAAGUUGUUUCGACAACAACUUGCUGAGGAAGAAAAUAUUAGUAGGACAAUAACUGAAGACCUUGAAAAAUAUGCAAAGCAUUGAGAAAAAAAAAAGAAAUAAUCAGUGUAAUAGUUCUGGAGAAUAUGUUUUAACCACUGUUUCUGUUGUCCACUAAUGUGGCUGCUUCCCCUGCCAUAAUGAUCUCUUGUUAGUAAUGAAUGUAUAGAGAAAGACUUAUCUUUAUAAUUACUAUUAUAGUUGUGUAUUUUAUUUUAUGCUCAAUACAAAAAUACCCCUUUUCUGACAUCCAGGAAAUGGUACACAGACAUGGUAAUUAAAUAUACUUCCUUAGUAAUUUUCAGAAACUUACCUAGUGAUAAAAGGUAAUCAAAUGUUAUCAUAUGUGUUCUAAAAACUUUUGAAAGAAUAGUGAAAGUCCCUUCUGUUUUGAAAGGCUAAAUGAUCAGAUAUGUUGUUGCAUCCUCAAUCUUUUAAUUGUUCACAAAUUUUAUUCUGGGGAGUGUCACAUCAUAUUCACAUUUAUCCAUACAGUCAUUUUUCAUUUAUGUAUGCAUUAUUCUAAGUAUUCAAGUUUAGUUUUGUAAUUAACAUUAUGAAAUUUCAACGGGCAAUACUGUACAGGCUAUUUGCGUGUAAUGUGUGCCAUAAGCUGAUGUAAUCAAUACAUAUUGCUAUUAUCUGUUAUGUUAAUGUUUUACAUCUUAUUGUGUAUGGAUUAAAAGCUUGUAUGAUAUUUAAUUAUUGUAAAAUACACAAAAUUCUUCUUUGUUUUAUGAGUGUUCUGUGAAAAUAGAAAGAAUGAGUAUGCUGUAUAGACUAAUUUUACUUAUUUUCAAUUUAUCAAAAUAAUGUAUUUCAUUUGUAGAUGCUAUGGUAAAGCUAAAUAUAUGUCAGAAAUUUUCAAAGAUUUCAGAAUGCAAUUAAUACUAAUUCUUUAAAACCUAUUUGAAAAGUUCUAGAAUGGACAUUACUUUAAACAUAAAUUGUUAUAGCUUAAAUGUAGUUUUUUUAACACUGAUGACUGAAUAUUUCACCUACUAAGGAGGAUUGGGUGACAUUGUGGCUUGAAAAAUAAGAGAUGCUGUUGUUUGUACCAUUAAACCAUUAAUUUAAGAAAUGAGCAUGAUGUUGGCACAAUAAUUACAUUACAUGAAAACAUUAUUUAGAAGGAAGGAAGCAAUGGUUUCUAAAUUGUAUUUCAUCCAAAGUUUUUUUUUUUUUGACCAAUGGUUCUUUUGUCACAUAUUUUAUUUGUAAUAUUGUAUAUACAACUGUUAUAUUAUUUUUUUAUUGAAUACAAUACUCGGUUCAGUUUAGUUAUUUAAUGAACUACGAUCUAGAUCAUAAAAUCUAAGUCAGUACUUCACAAAAUGGUUUUACUUUAUCUUCAUGUAGUACAUAUUGAAGAACGCUUUCACAUUUGUAAAAGAUAGCAUCAUAAAGAAGUUUGAAUUUAUUAUUAAUUUCUGUAGUUGAUGAUGUUUUAUACAUGUUGGUAUGGUAAUUGAUUCUUUUAUUUUUCUCUUGAGUAUAUGAUGCUGUUGCUAAGUCUCUUAGCACCUUUUUGAUAUCGCCAGGACAUUGGGUUUCACUUGUGUAUUUUUAUUUUAACACACAUGUGACAUUGUAUACUACAUUUUUCCUAUUUUGUUUAGUCAGGAGUGAUGUCUUUUAUCAAGCUAUCACAUAAGUUUUAGAGCUUUUGAAGUUUAUCUGGAAGUUAAAGGUGUUUGUAAUCUUUCUUAUUUUUUCCUAGUCAUGGGAUAUGGUAAAAUGUUCUUUUGUUUAUCCCGAAUAUUAAUGGAUGUUUCUGAUAGCUUAUUAAAUGUUCUUGUGUUUGUCUUAAGGGUUAGUGGAUGUUUUUCUGAUAGCUUAUUAAAUGUUCUUGUGUUUAUCUUGAUUAUUAAUGUAUGUUUCCGAUGGCUUAUUUAUAGAGUUUUUUUUACUAAUUUAUUUGAAUUGCUUUAGCUCAGUUUCAACAACCUCAUUAUUAGAUAUCCUUGUCACCUUCCAUGCUGUUUUAAAGUUGUAUGUUUGAUGUUGUAGUGAAAGAAGAGAAAUACUAAUUUCAAACAAACCACCAUUCAGUUCUUUCCCUCCUAAUACACCACCUCAUGGCUUAGUAGUAAGUCAGCAGGCUUAUGACACUAAAAAUCAAGUUUUGAUAUCUGUAGUGGGCACAACAAGAUAACCCAGUGGUAUGCAGAGCUCAGAUGACCCAUUGUGUAACUUUGUGUUCAACAUACCAAACCCUCCUAAUAUUGAAAAGAAAAUAAAGAAGCGUGUUUUUUUAUCUUAAUUAUUACUGUAUAUGUUUUAAGCCAAUGUGAUAAUUAUGAAUUAAUUGCUGUAUUAGUUAACAAUAUAGUAUGAAAAACAAAAACAUUUUUAUUUAAAAUAACAGACUCACCUAACAAAAUGUACACACAUUAACUAACAAAUAUUUUGUAUGAACCUGUUAACAUUUAUAAGUAUCAUUUCUUAAAGGUCCAUCAAAUGAAAAUAACCAUCUUACAAAUAAGAAUAGCUUACUCCUAUUAGUCAGUUUUGUAACUUAAUCUUCCAGCUAUAUAAAAGCAAAUUAAAUCAUUAUCAUUAAGCUGAUAAUUAUGUGGUUUAAAAAUUAUGUACUUUUUUUCAGUGCACAGGUUUGUUAGACUAGUCAUUGUACUUGUUACAGAUGGAGUAAUGUGUUGUGCAUAAUAUUUGUUUUAGAAAUACACAUGGUUUUCUUAUGUAAUGUUAUAAAUUAUCAAAUUAUAUGUACAUUUAAGAAUUACAGAACAUUUCAAAAAUAAGACUAUACAAGCAUCACACAACAAUUGUCAUGGUUGUUCAUACAGAUUUAUUGUUCUGGAUCAGCAGUUCUCAACCUAAUUUUUUUUGGCUCGAGACCCAAUUGUAAACAUUGAUGGUCAGUCACAGUCCAGUAAAUGGCUUUAAUGCAAAACAUAUCUGACUUACUAAAUAAAUAAAUUACUAUCUAUUUUCAAAGUCUGUUUGCAAAUGUAUUACACAUUCUGACAACCAUAUUUUGGGUUGUGAAAUGCUGUUUUAGAAAACUAAAAAUUCGUAAUCUCUGUAACAACAGAAUAUAUCUCAUAACAACCUACUUAUACUUGAAAGAUAAGUUCAUAAUGAUUUAGUAAUAUUUAUUGUUAUUUAUUUAUAGAAUUUGCCUCAUAAAGUCAUUUGACUGAACUGUUUUUGUGCUUUUUUGCUAAUCUUAAUAACAAUGCCUGCUUUAUUUAUGUAUGCUUGUGUAAGGCAUUAGAAAUAUGAAUACUAUUUUGUUGUUACUCUAAGUAGGCAGAGUUGGAAAAUGUAGUGAUUUUGAAAGCUUAUGAAAUUAUCUACAUGGUUAUGUACUAUGCCAUAUUAAUUGGUUUACUUUCAAGUGUACUACCAAAGUUAACAAAAAUCUAUAAAAAUGCUUGAGCAACAUUUAUUUUAGCAAUGCUUGAAUUAAAAUUUUCAAGAAUCCCUUUUAUCUCAUGCUAAGCACUGGGCUAGGCAUAGCCUAGUGGUUAGCAUGCUGGACUGCAGAUCUUUUCAUCUGUUAGCUAAUUAUUAUAAAAGUGUCAGUAAAUCCCCUUAUUCAUUUGAAAGAUCCAGAUGAAUGCUGCUGGCUUUGAUAUGUAAUUCAAAGUUAGUAAUGGCUAUACCUGAACCCUCCUAUGACCUGGUUGUUUAGCCCAAAUUAAGCAUUUAAAAUGCUUAAUUUACAUGUGUAAAAAUGUAGGUGUAUAUAUACAAGUAAAAAGUGUUAUUAUUCAAAGAUGUCUCUGUGUGUGUGUGUGUGUGUGUUAAAAUUAUUUAUGUACAUAAUGUUUUUUGUUUAAAUGUUAAUACUAGUCAAUAAAACCAAAUAAACCCUGAUUUUAGUAAAACUUUGAAUACUGAAAAACCAGGCAUAUCUGUUGAGUUAUUCUUAAAUGAUGAUGCCAGUAACAACAAAUAUAUAGUCAGCAAUCUUGUUACGAAUCAGUAUAGUUUCAACUUGUACCAGAAGUUGAUGCCAUAUAGACUAUAGCUCUUCCUUAAGUAAAGCUAAAUAUUACUUCUCUUGAGAGUUAGAUGCUGUGAUGGUUUUCACUUUUUGUUUCUAUAACCCAAACUUAGCGAAAUUGAUCAAAUUAUUUAGAUUUGGAUCUUGAUGCUUUCUUACUGCUAAUGUAGUGUUGAUAUUUCAAAAGCUUUUAACAGGCCUUGUGUUGCUUUUCACAGUGUAACAAGAUGUAAAAUAAUAAAUGUUAAUAAAAUUAAUAAAACUUCA